UACGUAGGGCGCAAGCGUUGUCCGGAAUUAUUGGGCGUAAAGAGCUCGUAGGCGGCCUGUUGCGUCCGCUGUGAAAACCCGGGGCUUAACCCCGGGCUUGCAGUGGAUACGGGCAGGCUGGAGGCAGGCAGGGGAGAACGGAAUUCCCGGUGUAGCGGUGAAAUGCGCAGAUAUCGGGAGGAACACCAGUGGCGAAGGCGGCGACCUGGGCCAAUACUGACGCUGAGGUGGCGAAAGCGUGGGGAGCAAACAGG
rnacentral:rRNA from 1 species